rnacentral:rRNA from 1 species
GACGAACGCUGGCGGCGUGCUUAACACAUGCAAGUCGAACGGAAAGUCCCUGCUGUGGGGGGGUGCUCGGGUGGCGAACGGGUGAGUAACAGGUGAGUAGCCCUGUCUUGACUUUGGGAUAACGUCAGGAAACUGGGGCUAAUACCGGAUAGGAGCUCCUGCUGCGUGGUUGGGGUUGGGAAGUUUCGCCGGUUGGGGAUGGACUCGAGGCUUAUCAGCUUGUGGGUGGGGUAGUGGCUUACCAAGGCUUUGACAGGUGGCCGGCCUGAGAGGGUGACAGGCCACAUUGCGACUGAGCUAAGGCCCAGACUACUCCGGGAGGCAGCAGUGGGGAAUAUUGUACAAUGCGAGGAAGCCUGAUCUAGCACAGCCGCGUGCGGGAUGACGGCAUUCGGGUUGUAAACCGCUUUCGCAUGUGACGAAGCGUGAGUGACGGUACUGGGUAAAGAAGCACCGGCUAACUACGUG